GACGAACGCUGGCGGCGUGCCUAAUACAUGCAAGUCGAACGAACCGCGACUAGGUGCUUGCACUUGGUCAAGGUGAGUGGCGAACGGGUGAGUAACACGUGGGUAACCUACCUCAUAGUGGGGGAUAACAGUCGGAAACGACUGCUAAAACCGCAUAGGACAUAGGAUCACAUGAUCCAGUGAGGAAAGGUGGCGCAAGCUAUCGCUAAGAGAUGGACCCGCGGUGCAUUAGCUAGUUGGUAGGGUAAAGGCCUACCAAGGCGAUGAUGCAUAGCCGACCUGAGAGGGUGAUCGGCCACAUUGGGACUGAGACACGGCCCAAACUCCUACGGGAGGCAGCAGUAGGGAAUCUUCCGCAAUGGACGCAAGUCUGACGGAGCAACGCCGCGUGAGUGAAGAAGGUCUUCGGAUCGUAAAGCUCUGUUGUUAGAGAAGAACAGCGCAUAGAGUAACUGUUAUGCGUGUGACGGUAUCUAACCAGAAAGCCACGGCUAACUACGUG
rnacentral:rRNA from 1 species